CGCGUGAGCGAUGAAGGCCUUCGGGUCGUAAAGCUCUGUUGUUAGAGAAGAACAAGUACGAGAGUAACUGCUCGUACCUUGACGGUACCUAACCAGAAAGCCACGGCUAACUACGUGCCAGCAGCCGCGGUAAUUCGUAGGUGGCAAGCGUUAUCCGGAAUUAUUGGGCGUAAAGCGCGCGCAGGCGGUUUCUUAAGUCUGAUGUGAAAGCCCACGGCUCAACCGUGGAGGGUCAUUGGAAACUGGGGAACUUGAGUGCAGAAGAGAAAAGCGGAAUUCCACGUGUAGCGGUGAAAUGCGUAGAGAUGUGGAGGAACACCAGUGGCGAAGGCGGCUUUUUGGUCUGUAACUGACGCUGAGGCGCGAAAGCGUGGGGAGCAAACAGGAUUAGAUACCCUGGUAGUCCACGCCGUAAACGAUGAGUGCUAAGUGUUAGAGGGUUUCCGCCCUUUAGUGCUGCAGCUAACGCAUUAAGCACUCCGCCUGGGGAGUACGGUCGCAAGACUGAAA
rnacentral:rRNA from 2 species